CCCCUUCCCUCUUUACCUUGAUUUACCUAUAUUGGGCGUGCUGGCUUGCCAGCUAUGGUAAUAAAUGGACAGUGUAAUAAACCCAUUGGACCCGGGGCGGUACCUGGCGCCUCCACCACAACCAAAACGGCUCACGCUUUGUAGCUGUUUUUGUUAUGAAGGGGGCGAAACAGGAUCGACAAGGGCGUAAAGAUUGCUCUUUUACCCGGCAUUGUACCACCGUUAUCGGGCUACUUAAGUAGUUGCAAAUGACAACUAUGCGGAAGCUCGUCUCGCUGCUUAAUUGCGGCGCGAACGCUUCAAAUUAAGUCUUGGACCUUCGCCGGUCCAAGCGGGGUUCGGAGGCACCUGGCAACAGAAGCCUUCACU
rnacentral:tmRNA from 1 species